AAUCAAAACAGAAACACGGCCUAGUCAAUACGCGAUAACGUAUUGAGUACACUCAGGUGUGUCUUCAUAAAUGCACUGUCUUUACCAUAGUCUGCAAAAAUGCUAUCUGCAUGAGCAGAGUUGUAUUUUCUAUGGUUUUAUCGACAAAUACAACAUCAUUUUUUCACAUUGACAGGUAAGGCAAAAAUGGACUAAAUGAAAGUGACAGCUAGAAGCAACGUAAUUUGAAGCAAUUACUGGAAAGUUUGUAUUGGUUUUUUUUGAAAAUAAUGCCAAUAAAGAUAUACCUUCCAUUUUUUUUAAAAAGACCCAUUCUUGUUCAGCUAUAAGCAGUAUAGCUAUAAAAUCCGCAAUCACGAGAUGGGACAGGGCAAGCGUGCAAGAUCUCCUAGGCAAGAUGUCAGCAGGAAAAGUGCCCGUGGUAUGGGUUCGGCAAGGCCGAGCAACGCCAUGCGUUUAAAGAACAAGCUUCCAUGUAUCGACAAGAAAAAGACAGCCCCAAUGCUUUUUCAGCUGUUUAUUAAAGAAAAUGAAAAUAAUUUCAACGUUGAGGAACUUGAAAAUUCCAAGAUACCUGAUCAUGAAAUGUUGUCGAUUUAUACCUGGCUCGAUACGACUUUUCAGCAAUUAGCGUAUAUGGUUAAGAAGGCCUAUGGAUAUAAAGAUGUCACUAUUGAAUUUUCUUCAGUCUAUAUGGAGCAUCGAGCCAAAAAAUUGAGAACUCGUCCUCUCUCUACUGUAAAUAUUUAUACUACUUCAACUUCUUCACCUACGCUCGCCGAAAGUGGCUAUCAUUCAGGUGACAUCAUUAUUGCUCUAAUCACAACGUCGACACCGAAGCUUUCUAAGCAGCCGGCAGAUAUUUUAAAACCAGAGGGAACUUAGUUGGCUUUUUUUUUUUUUAGAUAAUUUACAUCCACAGCCGAGGUGUUGAUAAGUAAAAAAGAAACUAAACGUAAAAGUUAUUAGGCAUAACACAUCUCCAGCAUCGAUUGGCCUAUUUUCCCUUCUUUAAGUUCACCUUGAUAUGCAGAAAGCUUACAACGUUGAAAAAAUUUUUAAGCGCUCCCCAUUUUACCUCUUGUGCUUCAUUGUAUUGCUUGAUUGAGCAAAACAUUGAGAGGCCUAUACGCCAUUUCAUUUGUUCUAAAUAACUAUCGGCUUUCAUUCUUAAAACUCAUGCUUUCCGCCAAGAAUCUUGCCGAUAAAAUUUUCUCGAAAUUUGUCUCUUCUAGCCAAUUCCAAAAUGGUGGUCGUCUCUGUCAUCGAGCCCGUUCUCUAGGGCACAGGAAAACUUCGCUUUUACUGGCCUUCCAUCCUCGUCUUUCAUACAUAACCCGUAUAUCACCGAUGAUGGUUAAGGAUCAGAUGAAAACACGAAAAAGCAAGAAACGCCGCAAUAAUGAAGAAUACGAUUCUGAUGACGAAGAGGAGAUCAGAAUUGUAAAAAAGUCUACUACUUCACCUAAAAAAACUAUUCCUGCUGCCUUUGUGUCCACUGAUUCAUUUGAUAUCAAGAUAACAUAUGUUUCUAUGGAAAACAAGUUUAAAUCAAUUCAAGCCGAAGUUGACACGAUCAAAGUUGGGCGCGCUGAUCCUCAGCUCCUACAAAAUGUAACGGUCGAUGGACGGCCUUUAUCGACCCUUGGCCAAAUUCAGUACAAAGACCCUCAAACGCUGAUUGUUUCCCUUUAUGAUAUCAAUCUGAUUCAGAAAGUAAGUAAACAGAUCGCUUCUGGCGAUCCAAACUUCAAUCCAACGAACGAUGGUCAAACAAUCUAUGUAACUGUACCCAAGCCCACCGCAGAGUAUCGCCGUUCACUGAUUAAAACAAUGAUGUCAGUCAUAGAAAAUGGUAAGAUAAAAGUUCGGGCAGCCAGGAAGGAUUCAAUGAACAUGCUGAAAGAAAUGAGUCUACCAAAAGAUGAAGCGAGGAUAGCUGAAAAGCAGAUACAAGCAGUUCAUGAUGAAUUUAUUAACAAGUUAGAAACAUUAGCUAAACAAAAAGAGUUGGAACUUAAAAAGUGAAGCGUUCGUUAGGCAAAAUUUGAUGAAUUGAGUGUGGGUUACCCAUGUGCGAUGUUAAAAGUCAGCGUUCUUUUGGUUCAAGAUCUACGGAAGGCGGCGAUUUAUGUAUAAAAGAUAUCUGUAGCCACGAAUUUCGGAGAA